UCGAGGGGCAGCGAGUAGAUUGCUUGCAAUCUACGUCGGCGACCGGCGCAUGGGUGCGUAACGCGUAUGCAACCUACCCAUUACAGGGGGAUAACACUGAGAAAUCGGUACUAAUACCCCAUAACAUCCAGGGAGGCAUCUUCUUGGGUUGAAAACUCCGGUGGUAAUGGAUGGGCAUGCGUUGUAUUAGUUAGUUGGUGGGGUAACGGCUCACCAAGACGACGAUACAUAGGGGGACUGAGAGGUUAACCCCCCACAUUGGUACUGAGACACGGACCAAACUCCUACGGGAGGCAGCAGUGAGGAAUAUUGGUCAAUGGACGCAAGUCUGAACCAGCCAUGCCGCGUGCAGGAAGACGGCUCUAUGAGUUGUAAACUGCUUUUGUACGAGGGUAAACGCAGAUACGUGUAUCUGUCUGAAAGUAUCGUACGAAUAAGGAUCGGCUAACUCCGUGCCAGCAGCCGCGGUAAUACGGAGGAUUCAAGCGUUAUCCGGAUUUAUUGGGUUUAAAGGGUGCGUAGGCGGUCGGAUAAGUUAGAGGUGAAAUCCCGGGGCUCAACUUCGGAAUUGCCUCUGAUACUGUUCGGCUAGAGAGUAGUUGCGGUAGGCGGAAUGUAUGGUGUAGCGGUGAAAUGCUUAGAGAUCAUACAGAACACCGAUUGCGAAGGCAGCUUACCAAGCUACUUCUGACGUUGAGGCACGAAAGCGUGGGGAGCAAACAGGAUUAGAUACCCUGGUAGUCCACGCAGUAAACGAUGAUAACUCGUUGUCGGCGA
rnacentral:rRNA from 1 species